rnacentral:rRNA from 1 species
UACGAACGCUGGCGGCGUGCUUAACACAUGCAAGUCGAACGGAAAGGCCCUGCUUUUGUGGGGUGCUCGAGUGGCGAACGGGUGAGUAACACGUGAGUAACCUGCCCUUGACUUUGGGAUAACUUCAGGAAACUGGGGCUAAUACCGGAUAGGAGCUCCUGCUGCAUGGUGGGGGUUGGAAAGUUUCGGCGGUUGGGGAUGGACUCGCGGCUUAUCAGCUUGUUGGUGGGGUAGUGGCUUACCAAGGCUUUGACGGGUAGCCGGCCUGAGAGGGUGACCGGCCACAUUGGGACUGAGAUAAGGCCCAGACUCAUACGGGAGGCAGCAGUGGGGAAUAUUGCACAAUGGGCGGAAGCCUGAUGCAGCAACGCCGCGUGCGGGAUGACGGCCUUCGGGUUGUAAACCACUUUCGCCUGUGACGAAGCGUGAGUGACGGUAAUGGGUAAAGAAGCACCGGCUAACUACGUG